UACGUAGGGUGCGAGCGUUGUCCGGAAUUAUUGGGCGUAAAGAGCUCGUAGGCGGUGUGUCACGUCGGCCGUGAAAACCUGCAGCUUAACUGUGGGCGUGCGGUCGAUACGGGCAUCACUGGAGUUCGGCAGGGGAGACUGGAAUUCCCGGUGUAGUGGUGAAAUGCGUAGAUAUCGGGAGGAACACCAGUGGCGAAGGCGACUACCUGGCCUGUUCUUGACGCUGAGGCGCGAAAGCUAGGGGAGCAAACGGG
rnacentral:rRNA from 1 species